rnacentral:rRNA from 1 species
CAGUCGCCGCGGUAAUACGUAGGGUGCAAGCGUUGUCCGGAAUUAUUGGGCGUAAAAAGCUCGUAGGCGGUUUGUCGCGUCUGCUGUGAAAUCCCGAGGCUCAACCUCGGGCUUGCAGUGGGUACGGGCAGACUAGAGUGCGGUAGGGGAGAUUGGAAUUCCUGGUGUAGCGGUGGAAUGCGCAGAUAUCAGGAGGAACACCGAUGGCGAAGGCAGAUCUCUGGGCCGUAACUGACGCUGAGGAGCGAAAGCGUGGGGAGCGAACAGGAUUAGAUACCCCAGUAGUCCCUGUCUCUUAUAC